AUUUAUAAAGUUUAUAAAACAUUUCAUUUUCAUUGAAAAGAUAGGAAAAUUCCUUGUAAAUA
rnacentral:tRNA from 1 species